GCUGCGAUGGCCGAGUGGUUAAGGUAUUAGAGUUGAAAUCCAAUAAGGUUUCCUUGUGCAGGUUUGAAUCCUGCUCACAGCA